rnacentral:rRNA from 1 species
UACGAAGGGUGCAAACGUUGCUCGGAAUUACUGGGCGUAAAGCGCGCGUAGGCGGCUUUGUAAGUUAGAGGUGAAAGCCCGGGGCUCAACUCCGGAAUUGCCUUUAAGACUGCAUCGCUAGAAUCGUGGAGAGGUAAGUGGAAUUCCGAGUGUAGAGGUGAAAUUCGUAGAUAUUCGGAAGAACACCAGUGGCGAAGGCGACUUACUGGACACGUAUUGACGCUGAGGUGCGAAAGCGUGGGGAGCAAACAGGG